rnacentral:misc_RNA from 1 species
GAUGAAGAACGCAGCGAAAUGCGAUAAGUAGUGUGAAUUGCAGAAUUCAGUGAAUCAUCGAAUCUUUGAACGCACAUUGCGCCCCUUGGUAUUCCAUGGGGCAUGCCUGUUCGAGCGUCAUUUGUACCUUCAAGCUUUGCUUGGUGUUGGGUGUUUGUCUCGCCUUUGCGUGUAGACUCGCCUUAAAAUAAUUGGCAGCCGGCGUAUUGAUUUCGGAGCGCAGUACAUCUCGCGCUUUGCACUCAUAACGACAGCGUCCAAAAGUACAUUUUACACUCUUGACCUCGGAUCAGGUAGGGAUACCCGCUGAACUUAAGCAUCUCAAUAAGCGGAGGA